CAACUACUCCCUCUGUCCCAAAUUUCUUGUCUUAGAUUUGUCUAGAUACGGAUGUAUCUAAUACUAAAAUGUGACUUGAUACAUCCGUAUCUAGACAAAUCUAAGACAAGAAUUUUGGGAUUGAGGGAGUACUUU
rnacentral:pre_miRNA from 1 species